ensembl:lncRNA
GGCAGAGCUCCCUCCUACCUUUUUUCUUUCUUUCUUUCCUUUUUUUUUUUUUUUUUUUUUUUUUUUUUUAAUAAGAAAUUAAAACACUGUCAGACAAGAACAUCUGAACCGUUCCCAGAGAGGGAAUAGUCAAUAAGGAAGACUGCAACAAAGGAAAGCAGCAACUUACACAAAAUAUUCACGUGUAACAGAAUAAAAAGUGUCAUAUAAUUGGAAUUGUUCUGCAAUCUAAUCCUAAUAUGAAAAAUCCACAUUCAGUAUCAUUGCUUCAGUCUGGCAUCAGCAAUAGGGGGGGGUGGGGGAGAUAUGGAAGCCCCAUAUAAUUCAGUUAGUACUCCAGUAUUCUUCUUUGAAGCAUUUGCAAAAGAUUAAACUAUUUUGGUCUCCUCUAAGCACAUAAGGUACAGGGAAUAGCUCUUCCUUUCCCCAUUAAGUUAUAAAAUAUUCAAGUUCUAUUGUGCCUAGAGAUGAGAAUUUUCCUUAGUCCAUAUGUUUGCAAUACUUUGACUUAAUCAGAACAAUGAUGCUCAAGGAGAUUCUGUGAUCAGAAACCUGUUCAACAAGAGGCAGCAUGCUAAUAAGUUAUCAGGUAAGUCACAACAUGAGUAUUUAUACAUACACAAAGCAGAAUCACUCAACUUCUGUUAUUUACUGUUGCUUUUGCCCACACAACUUGCAAAGCGUUAACUCUGUAGCUGAUGCCCAGCUUUUCAGUUUAUGCAGGCACAGACUAGAUGAAAAACUAUUUCUAGGAGGAAUAAGCUAAAGGACAUGCAUAAAAACAAAAUACACUUGAUCCUUCAACUUCCUGCAACUGAACAAAGAGUGUGUAUUAUAACAGAUGUUAGCACACCCUCUUUUUCCCAAGUGGAAUGAGAAGAGGACCAAAACAUGCAAAAAGGAGCAAUCCGCAACAGUAACAAAAAAAAUAAUCUUACAUUGUACAUUCAGUAAAUUUUAAACAACAGUGAAUCACAAGACUGUUAACUGUGCAUAAACCUUACCUACACAAACUGUAAGGUAAAUAAGGUAAAGCUAAAUCCAUUCUACUUAAAGCAGCACUUAGAGUAAAACAUUAACAAUAUUUUUAAAAAUAGGCCUCCCAGGACAUUUCAUAAGACAAUAAAACCCAAGUUACAGCACUCUUCACUACUUCAGAUCCUAUUUUACCAUAGUGCACCCCUCUACUAAUCAUACGUACUCUACAAACCAAUGCCCAAAGAUAAAAAGGUCUUUCCUCAAGUCUCUGUAGUCCUUAGUAUACAUCUACCAUGCUGUAUACCUUGCUGUACCAGCAGAAUUGGAAGUUAGUUUGCCUAUAACAUUACUUCAGUCUUCUCAGGAAAAAUAAAUAAAUAAAUAAAUGUUUCUAUCCACACAGGUACAACCCUCAGCUCACGUUUUUCCAAGAAAGUAUGGUCUACAGUACAUAGAAGAAAAGUUAUUCUAUGACAGCUUGAGAAUCUGUGUCCACUUUUGGGCCCCUCACUGUAAGAAAGACAUCAAGGCCCUGAAGCAUGUUCAAAGGGCAACAAAGCUGGUGAGGGGUCUGGAGCGCAGGCCUAAUGAGGAGCAGUUGAAGGAGCUGGGAUUGUUCAGUCUAGAGAAGAGGAGGCUCAGUGGAUAAUUUAUUGCUCUCUAUAACUACCUGAAGAGAACUGGGGGCCGGCCUCUUCUCUCGUGUGACUAGUGAUAGGACUAGAGGGAAUGGCUUCAAGCUGCACCAGGGAAAAUUCAGGCUGGACGUUAGGAAAUACUACUUCUCUGAAAGGGUGGUCAGGCACUGGAAUGGGCUGCCCAGGGAGGUGGUGGAGUCACUGACCCUGGAGGUGUUGAAGGAACAUUUGGACACUGUGUUGAGGGACAUAGUUUAGUGAGAACUAUUGGUAAUGGGCGGAUGGUUGGACAGGGUAAUCCUGUGGGUCUUUUCCAACCCUGGUGAUUCUAUGAUUCUGUGAUGAUUCCAAGUUUCGUUCUGCACUGAGUUUUGCUCAGAGGGAUCUCAACUCUAUUUCUUCUAAUUUAGAGUCUUAGUUCCACAUUCAUGAAAUCUAAGUUAGGCAGUUAAAGGGGAAUGAUUCACUAGCACUGAAUCAGAAUUCAGUAAUUCAAAAUUGGGGCAAAUCUAGGCAGCUAGAAGUCAUUAAAGGCUUAAGUUUCCAUCAAUGCUGACUCUCAAAGACAUCUGUUCAGAAGCAGAAAUUUAGUAGCUACACCCUACCAGUGCUGAGUAGGUGACAUACCCCAUCGCAAGGUCCCACCUGAAUCCAUAGAAGUGAACCUACUAAAUCUCAAGUUCAGCCCAAAGUGCAAUAAUUUGGUCACAAGCAGGGAAGUAUCAAAGAAAACAGGUGCAAACAUCCUGAUUUAUUUUAAUACCACUAACACAUUCAAGAUGAGCAUUUGUUUGAGUAAUUCAAACUUUCCACAUCUCUCCUGAGGGAACAUGCAGGAUAUUAGUGCAUUUGCAAAGUGACAGGGCUUCACAAAGUCUUUAUGAGGUUAUCCCAACAUGUACUGUAACAGCUGGAGCAACUGGGCUGAGAGGGAGCAGAACUUCACUAAGUUGAGGUACUAGACGUCAAAACUGGAUUCCAGUCUUCUCCUACUGAUGAUGAAGUAUUUUGUCUUAACCUGCUAGAACAGGCCUCAUUCUACACUAUAAACAAAAUAGAGCUCUAAUUUUCUACUGAAAGUCUGUGAGCCUCCCUAACUACCUCACGUGCUCUCCUUAUAAAUUAAGCAAUUUGCACCACUACACAGAUCGUUUAUGAACUUGGUAAUGAAAUUCACAACACUAGAAAUCAAUUUCCAACCUUAUGCUUCAUAAAAAUCACACUGUGUAAUUAUGUUAAUGUCCAUCUGCCUCUAAUAACUUGUUAACGGGUACUUCCUUGGUGUUACAGGUAUGGGAUAUCAGAAACACCUCAGUUACAUAAAAAGCCUCAAGUGGAAGUUGGAUUACUUUGGAUAACAAAACCAUCUGCAGUACAACUAGGUUUCAUGAUUCUGCUGCCCGUGAACUGCUUCCUGGGUUGUACUUCUAGUACACUACCCUACUUCAUAGUGAAUAAAUGAAACUAAUGUAUAGAGAUAGGCCUUGGUCCUCCUUAUUAAAUAAAUACAUCAUACCUACAGAGAUACGUAGGUACCACCAACUCUUACACCACAAUUUACUGCCACACAAAAAAACUGUAUUUGCUUCUAACAUAGGAACAAAGUCUUUUAUGAGCUGGAAUUGCGCCCAGCUAGUAAGCUGACUAGCUCAAGGCAUACCCUGAGAGACCAUCUCCGAAAACUGCAUUUAUUUCCUAGCUUGCCAAUAGCAUUAACAUACAUUUCAUGGAAGCUAUUUAUUACAUGUGAGCAAAUAUCUACUUUGGCUCUUACAAAGCCAUUGUACAAACAGGAAUUAGAUAUUACAGCAUGUAAACACUUCGAGAGUUUGGCCUACUGUUAAUCACUUUGUGUUUCAGAGCACUGUAAAGACAAUGCAGGCAUGUAAGCUUAAGCUCAAGUUUCAGCAGAAUUUAUGUGUGCUUCUUAGAAAUAGCAAGGACAAAAAAAAAAACACAAACAAAACCUGGAAAGACCUUAGAAGGUCUCCACGAUUCCUGUAAAUAGUACUCCUGUAAAAGUAUUCCAGCCUUCUCUGCCAGUGCAAUUCCUGGAUGACUUCAAAAUAUGUAUCUAUACAAAAUAUAUAUAAAUCUUAAUGCUAAAAGCAAAAAAAAAAAGUGAGCAUGUGUUGAAUGGUACAUUUUCCUUGGUGUCAUUUUGCUAGAGUAUAUUGUCUGAUGAAAUAUUACUAAGAUAUAAUGUCUCCAUUUUUGGGUGAUGUAUAAACAAAUCCUGCUCAGCAGGGCUGUUUCUAUAUUUUUGUUUCUAUGUUUUUUGUCUCCUCCAGGAGACAGAAGAAAUUAAAAAACAGGUCUUCCUAAGGAAUUUCAUUUGCAUGUGGCAACUGAUGUCCCCCACUGCAACAACCCCAACCUUUGCCCCAACAGAAUUUCAUCAGUGCAUAAUAUUUAAUCAUACAAAGUUAGAAAAAUAAAUGCUACAGACUGCACUGACAUAGACCUAGGUCACUGCAUUCAUGAUUUCACUGGUGCCAUGGUUUGAUGGUUUUUCACAUCAGUGGAUCAGUAUUCCACUACAACAUCAUGUAGCGCACUGGGAGUUAAAGAGUUGAUGUUGCAAUUCUGUGCACUGUUGGUAUUUCCAGUCUCCUCGUCUCAGAAGAGAAUACUGAGCUGAACUACAACUCCCAGAAGCCUUCAUUUUUCCAUUUUCAUUUGGAGGGUAAGAGAAAACUGACUGGGACUCAUGAGACCUUUCUCUUUGCUCCUUGGCAGUUUUGCCUACAGUAUGGACUUUGGUUUCAGAAACUCUCAUUUCAUUUGAUUUAUUAACUUCAAUUCCAAUCAUACUGUACUACAUUGCGUUAUCUCACAUUCCAUUACUGUAUUUAAUAAAUCAAGUUUUUCCUUAGGCCAUUGCUGCCAAAUCUAACAACAGGCCUACAUCUUUUCAAGUUGUUAUCUACCCCAGUUUAGCUGUGAGAGCUAAACCCUAUCUGAAGUUUGCAGUCCUCAUGAUUGUCCUGCAGUCCUGUUCCCAUGAGAAGAUACCGAAGUUUAAAGAAGGGAACACAAUAAUAUAAUCCAAAUGAGAAACAAGACAAAGGAAAAUUAGAAUAUGUAGUACAUACAAUAGUUUAGGAUGGCAUAAUAUUUAUAUUUCAGUUAAAAUACAUGAACUAGUUUCCCAACAAAAUAAUUCUACACUUUAUUUUUCCCGGAAUAUGAAAACUCAGGGAGGAAUGUUCCAAUGCUCCAAUGACAUUUUCUGGAACCAAGAAUUAAAAACAAGCAAAAAAAAAACACAUUAGAAAAGUAUGUAUAUGCAUCCAUGGAAAUUUCUAUUUCUAUUUAAAUAUUUUUUAAGUCAAAGCUUUCUUCAAAAUUCUGAACUAAUACAUCAUACAAAGUUAUUUAUUAUAUCUAACCUCUCCUUUUAUUAAUAGUUCUUGCAGCCACCAAAAAUGACAGCUCACCAUCAUCAGCUCUUCUGUUGCUAUAAUCUUGCUCUCUCAAAACCCACUGCCCACUAAACCCCUUAUUUUAAACAUGUUUUUAAAGCAUAUAAACAUUUGUGAGGCUCAAUUUAAGGAAUGACUGCACAGUAAAUACGAUCUUCUUUGCAUCUUUCCCAGGAACUGACCUUUUGACAACUCCCCCCUGCCUCCCUUUCAGUCAUGGUAUCUGUCAUCUGUCUCACCUGUACAAUCCUGCAAUAUGGAGUAGAAGCAGUCUUGCUAGCUAUGCUGGCUUUAGGAACAUAGCUACCGAUUCUGAACAGCCGUUUUGCAAGGUGGCCUCUUAAAUUAUCAUAAGCUUGACAGGAUAUUGAAAUUCAUGCUUAUUUAACUAUUAAGUAUUUACAAAAUGACUUAAAGUUGGGAGUGUUUAUUUAGUAGGUCUGUGAUUCUGAUUUUAGAUUUCUAACUAGAUCAAUAUACACAGCUAGAACUGAAUUAACUUGUUUUGGCGACUUGCAUAGCGACAGCUGCAAAGCAUUGGAGCCACCAACUGUUCAAACAUAGCAACAGCUAGCUAGCAUCUUUCCCAGAGCAGUUUAUAUGAAGCAUAAAGUAAGUUCUGUCACCAACUUUCUUUUCUCACUUAACACACAUUGUAACAGUCAUCCUAUUAACAUUCUGUAAACUUUGUAUUUGAUCAAAUAAAGAUAGUUAUUUACUUCCUAAUAUUGUAUUUAUACCUCUAAUGACAUGAACUUAACCUAAAAGUUCUUGCAGACGAGGUCUUUUCCCUAGGUGCUCAAUCAGUGGUUCAGGCCAUGACUCAACAGUUCCCAUACACUCCGUUUAGCAAGUGAUUCUUUCCUGAUUUUCUGAUUUUCCUCCAUUUCCUGAUAUUUGUAGCAGAUACUACACAGGAAAGCAUUUUUCUAGCCAUCCUAUUCUCAGCCAUAUACUGUAAAGAGGCAUUAGGUUUUGUGCAUUAGUAUCAUUCCCAUGUGCAUAUAUUUACACAUUACAGAUACAACAGAUACACAUUAUCUAUACACAGACACAGUAAAAAAAAAGUGCAUAACUAGGAGAACAAGAGGCACCUGAAAAGAAAGACCACUUCCUGAAGCUUGAAGAACCUCAGGUAGCUCCUGGCUUGCUUAUAUAAUUUAUCAACUCCCAUUAAGGAUGAAGAUGGUAGCACCAACAUUUAGUAGUUUCCCUGAUUUGGAGCUAACUGAAGGUGACCUUUCUUAGAUGUACUCAAGUUUAGAAACAGGUUUCCUGAUACCUAUUACAAAAUAUUAAGUCAGAAGAUUCUCUCCAGCUUGGUAUCAAGAAGUCAGAAGAAUCUUAGGCAAAAUAAUAAUAGCAGCCCACAUCUCCUUACACUAGAAAAGGGAUCUCAUAACCUAUAACCUUGAAAACUUGCUCAUCAUAUAUUGUUGUGUAGGUUCUACAUAUUAAGACAAAAACUCCUGAUGAAAGUACUGGACAAUAAGAUUGGAACACGACAAUUCAGCAGGCCAGAAGUAAAAGUAUCUAUAAAAUGUUCCAUCCGAAGGAUGGCCAAAGCUUAGAAGUAACUGUGCUAUUAAAUAAAAUUAGGUCAAUUAAAAUAAACAUUAUCUUCAUCUUUUUCAGUUUAUCAUCAUGAUGCAUCCAGAUUAAACUCUAUUUUUGGAAAUACCUCAUACUAAAAAAAACAAAUAAUCUGUUCUGCAAAAGUCUUGAAUGUUUAAUCUGUCAAUUCAUAUCUACGUUUCUUGAUGUUAAUUUCUGAUAUCCUUAGACAAAUCAGCUGGGAAGAUCAGACACUCCAAGGGCAUUUGGGUUGGAUUUGUUAUGAUUUUAUUUCAUCAGGCUGCACAAUGAACAAAGCUUCCAAGUCUAAAGACCUAACAUUCCUCUUCUUAUGUACUCUUCAUCAAAACAUAAAAAUCAUCCUUUUACUUAUCUCUGUCAACAUUCCCUUACCCAAGGUAUUUUCUCAAGGUUACGCACUACUGGGAACAGUGAACUUCUGGAUCAAAAUUUGACUGGAUUAUCUGCCAUAAUCAUUUUCCCCUUUUUUUUCCCCCCUUACUGUAACUUUUACUGUUAUGAAAGUACAAUACAGGCUGUACAGAGAGACCUAGACAUCAGUUGUGUCUUUGCUAAGGCCCAAAGUGAACAGAUGAGGAUCUGAGAUCAGUAGAGACUGAGCAUACUCAAGAUCUCUCAUCAGUGAAUGAGAGAGAGAAGCAGCUAACUGCUGUUCUGGGUGUUCAAAUCUCAUGGGAGAAGCAUCCAAUGAUAAAUGCACCAGUUCCACAGGUUAGUGAGGAUGAGCACAUGCAGUGUAACCGCGAUGAAACAAGGUGAUAUUGCUGUCCUAUGGAGAUGGCACUCUGGCAUCUUUAAUGAAUCACGCAUGAGCUGAAGUUCCAGCCUGCUGAGGUGUUAUGUGAGCAACCUAGUUCUCUGGUACUCAGGAAAAAGAAAGACAACCAUAAAAAUAAAUUUGAGGUGAAGUGGGUGAGCAGACUUUGAAAAGUCACACUUCCAAGGCUUGUUUUUAUCACAGUGGCAAUGACCAUUUAAUCUCAAGAAGUGUUUCUGCCACAGCAGUGCCUUACCUCUGUGCAAAAUUCUGUAACAGUACCACUAGCAGGCACCGGUGGAAGCCCUAACAAAUAUCAUUUGUCACAACAGUUUUAAGGGUGAAUGAUGUGUAAUUUUCUGUUCUGGACACAAAGCAAAACUUACCAAGUUUCUCACUGUUGCCACUUCUGGAAGCCAAUACCACCACACGAAGAACAGUUGGUUAUUUUAAUUCUCAGCUUAAUUUCAUCCAACUUCCAUGGUCUACUCCUUUUAGCAUGUAUAUGUCAUUCAUGAUAAUCAAACAUCCUGUUGGCUCCCCAGCUUCUUCUAGAAGGACAUAUGGUAAAACAUAACAUCCUAUUAAUCUGCAGAUUUUUAAAAGUAAUUCCCAAUGUGCUACAGCUUCCUUAUCCAAAGAGGAACAAAUCUACAAAUCAACAUAUGUUCCAAACUUUGAAUUCUUCAGUACUAGAGAAGCACUCAUCAAGUAGAACUACAAAGACUGUUUUCUCUUAAGAAUAGCUUCUUUCCUCCUAAUUUAAAAAAUAUGAGGGCUGCUCCAGAAGUAAUGCCUCUUAUUCUAUUACACUGGCCCACAACACCAGAGGCAGAUGCUGGUGGUAUGGGAGCAGAGGUUGAAUCUUCCCAACAACGUUCAUUGCAUGUUGUUGCCAUGUGACAGAUGGCAGCAGAAAGGAAGUCUGUAACAAACAUGUGGAACAGAACUCCUCCAUGUGGAAAAAUCAGCACCUAGUGACGUUUACCAACACUUGUCAAGCAUUAAUGGAGACCAGUCAGAUGGUGGGUGGUAUGUUUCAGCAAGGACACUGUCACAGCAGCUGUGAAACAGUAAUUUACCUCCAGUGGUGCAGAUUUUUUAAGAGCACGGCACACAGGCUCUUGUUCCUCACUGGCAAAAACACAUAGCUAGCAGUGGUGACUAUGUUGAAAAAUAGCGUUUUGCAACUGAAAGUUUGCUCUAUCAAAUGCACUAUUAUGUUCUUUGUAUCUGUUCUUUCCACAGAAAUAAAAGGCAUUACUAUUGGAGCAACCUCUGUACAUUAAUGGGAGUGAUUACUUUUAAACAUAACUCCAUGAAGCUUCGAGAUCCAUCGUUUACCCAAAUGUCAGUAUUGAUUGCCUUGGUACAUACAUUUUUGUUCAUAGCUUCUACAGACUAUUUCCUCAUGUAACCAUUCCCACAUCAGAGCAUGAAGUACAUCCAUCAAGGCCACAGAUGUUGCUUGAGCUGGGGAGGGAAUUAUGCUGGUAGAUGAAGGGUAUACCUCAGAUUCCAGUUUGUGUCCAGGUAUGUUGACAAGUACUACACUGAAGCAACCCAGAGAAGCAUCUAAUCAGUAUAUGGGUUACAGUGGGCUACGCUGCCAGGAAAAGGUUGUAAGACUCACAAAGUUGUUUCAGUACAGAAUAGUCAUCUUCAGUUGGAAUCCAGGAGAGACUUCGUUCUCCAAGGCUCUGAGCAUUCUUUAACCUUCUUUAACCAUUAUUUUCAACUUCCAUAACAAAAAGUUAUUGUUACUGACUUACGUGAAUUAGGGAAGUAAUUUGAAUUAUUGACCUGUAGGGACUUACAGUGUUUAAGAGAAUCAAAAGGAAAAACUAUUUUAAUUCAAUAUGUAACAUUUUAUGUUUUUAUUCUCUUUAAAGAAAAACAAGCCCCCAAAGCCUCUGUAUAUAGUAUGUGAUCAGAGCAAGACUAGAUACCUUUGAGAAGCCUAAACACUUUUCCACACAUUCAGUACUUAAUGCAAAGGUAUAAUGUUAAGAAUUAACAAUAGUCCACCAAUUCAGCAAAGAAAGCUCUGAAGGCUUUUUUUCCACCCUUCCUGUUUCCCUGCACUAAAAUCAUAGAACAAAGAAAAAAACCUGAGUUCAGUGUUUACAAAACUAGGCUUGCGAUACAUACAAUUUCUGCAGCAUUAUGGAGAUCCAGAGGAGGAAAAACACUGUUAUCAAUCCAAACUGUCCAACACUUCAGUGAAGAAAGCUUAGUCUUAACAUCACCUACCUGUAGCUUCCAUUUCAAUAAUUAUCUUUCUUCCCUUUCAUUCUCUCCCCUACUCUACCACUAAGUUUUUUCUUCUAUCCAUCUCAACCUUCUCUCAUAUUUGGAUAUAGUUUAUUCACACAAAUGUGAUAUGAAUAAAUCUAUUUUCCUCUUCUAAACCACAAGGACAGUACCUCUAUGAGUCCACAUAUAACUUUUUUUUUUCUACUGACUGGGCACUUUAUUACCGGCUUAAUUUAAAUAAUCAGAUCUUAAAAAAAAGACAGAAAUAACUUGAGCAGUAGAUACAAGAAGUGAGCAUCUGUUGUCAAAGUCAUUGGCACAAUCCUUAGACACGAGUUGCUAGGAAAUUAAAGGUAAAAUGAAACAUCCUAAUUGAAAACAGCCUCAAACAGGAGCUGACUCAGGCCUGGGCAGCCAAAGUGUUUUCACUGAUCUGUGCAGACAACCUGUAUUUUAGAUUGCUCAUGAAUUCUCACGGAGCAAAACCUGCAUUCACUAUCCUGAUGAAGCAGCCUCUUAAAUGCUGGUCAUCAGGAUGUAUUCAGUUUUACCAUUUGAUUUCACCUGGGAUACCUGUUUUCUGUAAAUGGAUAUGCAAACAGGAAGAAAAGGAAAGGACUACUUUACUUACCCAGGCAUCCAGAUAUUAAAGCAUACAGACCAAGAAGACUAGAACCAAUCUUUUUUUUUUCCUCUCAGAAUCUCCAGUCCAUUUCUUAGGAGCAUUUCCAAGCUCAAGAGGCUGACUGUUCAAAACACUCCAAAGACCUCUAGUAUGUUUGCUGCUCAUGACAACUCUUGAAAUUCUCUCUACAUUUAUUCUUACAAGUAUGUCAGCAAGCUUAUUUGAGCUAAGACCUAGUCAGUUCUUACAGCAUACUCACCUGCACAGAAAUCCCAUCCAACACUUUCAGAAACACUCACAGACCAUUACUGCAAGAGCAGGGCUGUAUUUCUACUGCAAGGAACUGACAGAUUCAAGGAGCACACACUUUGUGACAUACAGAAGAAUGCUAACAACUUUCAGACUGGAAUCACCUUAUGAACUGAGUAGUUCGGAGUGCAAAACUUGUGCAAAAGGAACUUCAGCAUCCUGAGCGAUAUCAUACUGCAACAGGAACUUCCAGCGUUGUUAUGCGAUAGUUGAAAGGGGGCACAAAGUACUAAGAGAGAUCUUCUUGCCACGUAUCUUGAGAACGUAAUUUUAACAACUUUGAAGAGAUUUCAUGAAUUGCAGAAGAGACAUGUAUGCAUAUUCAUGACUUGCUUACAUACUUUAUCUGAUAAUUCUGAUGCACACAAAAACACACUGCAAAACUGGGAGCAGAACCUUGCUUAUUAUCCUAUGUAGUAAAAGGAAUUAUUUAAACUAACACCAACUACACAGCUCCAUCUCACCUACAAUUUCCAGUAACGCAAUUUAGGUAUCAGUCACUGUUUUUGUGUUUUCAAAAGCUUUUGCUAGACAACAGCUUUUUAUCUAGAGACUGGUAAUCCACUGACAAGCAGAACAAUCUUAAGACACUGCUACUCUUAGCAAUUUGAAUAUCUUUUAUUCCACACAUUUUCCAAGUCAUUUUUUUUUUAACUAAACCUUUUAUUUUCAUGUUUUUAGUGCACUAAUAGAGGUAGUCUGAUGAGCCUCCUAGCAGUGUCCAUUCCUAUAUUAACUAGAGAAUGAGACACUUGGAAACAAAAAAUGCCUCUCUUCAAGAUGCAUUUAAUCUUCAAGAGAAAAAAACAAACAACCAGAAAGACAAAAAACCUAAGCCUGAAGAGCUUGAUAGGAUUCAUUGUGUAGAUAUUUUCAAGUAUUUAGAACCUUUCAAUUUCUAUUCCAUUUAUUUUACAACUAGGGAAUAAAGGUUGAUUUCUCCUCAAAAAGUACAGGCCUUUACAUAUUCAGAGGGGUGGGGGAAGAUGAGCAGGAAAGAGAUGUACGUAUCAAAACACAACUAACUGGUGACUCAGUAUUUUUUAAGUGUUCAUGUUCUAUAGCCCUGCAGAGACAACACUUAAAAAAACUGGAGAAGUGACUAGAAGAGUACUAAGCUAGAACAUGCUAGAUUUCUUUUCUAGAGCAGGGAAGAGUACUGUCAUGAACAAUCUUAAAAGAUGUAGGUAUCUGAAUCUAUCCAAACUGCUGACGUGCCCCACAGCAGGCCAGUUGUUCUAGCAUUCUUGUCAGUUACAGCAGCACACAAAGCGUAGAGAAUUAUUAAGUAACCCAAGUUAUAGUAGCCUUCUGCCUCAACUGAGCUUUCUAGCUCUUCUUUCUUUUCCCUAUCCAUUCCUGUUUUUAUCUCCCCUCCCUGGAAUGCCAGCUAUGAACAUCACAGUUUUUCCCACAGAAAACAGGUCUGUAUACUUUUACCCUAAGUAGAGCAUGACCAACCACAACUUAUCUGCAGGUCUGAAUCUCUUUACAAACUCAUGAGAGCACACACUUUUCAAAGUGACUAAGUAACUACAGUAUACAAGGGCUAGCACUGAAGUGUUUAUCACAGGCUACUUUUUGAAUUCUCAAACAUUACUUUAUUAAUAAUAUGGUUCAGACUAUGUACUAGCAAGCACUAAUGAGCUAGCUCACCUGGCAGUAAUUAAAGCCAGUCUGAACCCCAGAUAUGCACUGAACACUCAUCUCCAAAACAAGCUUUUCUUCCAUUAAGUCUUAUCUAGAGCCAUUUACCAAGCUUGUGAAACAAACCACACAUUAGGAUGGUGGCUAUCUGUAAGAACCAUUAUGAACAACUAAUUUUUAAUCAACCAUGGACAAAUGCCUUCCCUCAAUUUCAGUUUAGUCCCAAAAAUCUGGCAAUUUCUGAUGGUUGAUUUGGUUGAUUAUGACCAGAAAUGUUGAUCUUUUGUAUCACAAAAAAAUAUUAGGACUACCCAAAUUACAGCUGUUUGCAUUUAAAGCUUUGAGUAGUUUGCUAUGCAUUUAUAGAACCUGAACCAGACUCUAACAAGUCUGAAGAUGCCAGCAUGUGGCUAUAACCAAGCACUCUGUAUUUGGAUAGUUACACCUAAACUACUUGUACAUCAUAUCACCCUAACAAUUUAAGUGUAAUAAAAAAAACAACACCCAACGCCAAGAAAACAGACUUCAUGAAUUCAACUGUUCUUUCAUUAAAUGAUUUGGGUAAGCUACAGAAUAUUAAGUUUUCUUUAACAGUAAGAACAAAACUUUGUCAGAAAAAUAGAGAAUUUAAAAUAACUGAGAGAAGAUUAAUUUUACAACUCUCAAUCUCUACUCGCUGGGCCAGUACUUGAGACCCCUCCAUCCAGGAAUCCUACUGGUGUAGCUAUUAGCAUCCUUUUAUUAAAUCACCCCAUUUACCCACCAUUUUCUGUCUGCCUUCUGCAUUUCAAAAUCUCCUUCUGAAACAUGAAGAGCUUCAGAACUUGCAGCAUAGGAUGAUGUUAGGGUGAAAACUCAUUUCCAGUGUCACCUGUGUUAGACAUUAGCAGGCAGUCUCCACUCCCCCCACAUUUACCAAACCAAGUAAAGGUAGACAGGUACCUACUAACAUUGCUACACUGAAGUAGAGUAAGAGCCAACAGAUGAGUCAUCAGGAAGGCACAAGAAGGAUGUACUGAGAAGACUAGAGAAGAAUCUCAGAGACAUUUAGUUCUUUUCACAAUACCUUCUCAU